AUAUUUACCUAGUAGAGAGGCUAUCAUGAUUGAGAAGAAGUUUUUCUAGGGAGAGUUUUAUCAAUUGGACUCCAAAUAUAAAUGCCCAUUUAUUUCUCUCAAGUGCAGUAAAUUUGAUCUGCUAAUUUGUGGUAGGAAGAACAUUGUCCACUCUCUUCU
rnacentral:snRNA from 1 species